GCACUGCUGAUGAGACCCAAACAGAUUGAAAGAGCUGUCCAGUGC
rfam:Echinostoma caproni strain Egypt genome assembly, scaffold: ECPE_scaffold0025543